GACAGAGGUGCCGAGCGUUAGGCGGAAUCACUGGGCUUAAAGCGUGUGUAGGCGGAUCUGUAAGUACCUUGUGAAAUCCCACGGCUCAACCGUGGAACUGCUUGGUAUACUGCGGGUCUUGAGCCACCUAGGGGCAAGUGGAACAAACGGUGGAGCGGUGAAAUGCGUAGAUAUCGUUUGGAACGCCAACGGUGAAAACAGCUCGCUGGGGCUGCGCUGACGCUGAGACACGAAAGCCAGGGGAGCGAACGGG
rnacentral:rRNA from 1 species